GCCACUGUGGCUUAGCUGGUAGAGCACCUGAUUCGUAAUCAGGCGGCCGGGAGUUCGAAUCUCCCCAGUGGCUCCA
rnacentral:tRNA from 1 species